AGUGAACGCUGGCGGUAGGCCUAACACAUGCAAGUCGAACGGCAGCACAGUAAUAGCUUGCUCUUACGGGUGGCGAGUGUCGGACGGUUGAGGAAUACAUCGUAAUCUUCUUUUUCGUGGGGGUUAACGUAGGGAAACUUACGCUAAUACCGCAUACGACCUACGGGUUAAAGCAUUGGUUCUUCUGACCUUUCGCGUUUGUAUUAGCCGAGUUCGGAUUAGCUAGUUGGCUGGGUAAAGGCCCACCAAGGCGACGAUCCGUAGCUGGUCUGAGAGGAGGAACAGAGACACUGGAAGAGAGACACGGUCAAGAGUACUACGGGAGGAAGCAGAGGGGAAUAUUGGACAAUGGGGGAAAGCAUGAUACAGGAAAACCGCGUGGGUGAAGAAGGAGUUAGGGUUGUAAAGCAAUGAUGUUGGGAAAGAAAAGAAGCAGGAUAAAAAGAAGAGGUAAUGACGGUAACAAAAGAAAAAGCACCGGCUAACUACGUG
rnacentral:rRNA from 1 species